rnacentral:rRNA from 1 species
GAAUAUUGGUCAAUGGGCGAAAGCCUGACCCAGCCAUGCCGCGUGUGUGAAGAAGGUCCUCGCAUUGUAAAGCACUCUAAGUUGGGAGGAAGGGCAGGAAGCCAAUACCUUGCUGUUUUGACGUUACCGACAGAAUAAGCACCGCCUAACUCUGUGCCCGCAGCCGCGGUAAUACAGAGGGUGCAAGCGUUAAUCGGAAUAACUGGGCGUAAAGCGCGCGUAGGUGAUUCGUUAAGUUGGAUGUGAAAGCCCCGGGCUCAACCUGGGAACUGCAUCCAAAACUGGCGUGCUAGAGUAGGGCAGAGGGUGGUGGAAUUUCCUGUGUAGCGGUGAUAUGCGUAGAUAUAGGAAGGAACACCAGUGGCGAAGGCGACCACCUGGGCUCAUACUGACACUGAGGUGCGAAAGCGUGGGGAGCAAACA